rnacentral:rRNA from 1 species
CUCUGGCCUGAAAUCAGGUAGG